ensembl:lncRNA
CUGUACUCAACACUAGACAGUGUCUAGAUUAGUUCAGCAAAGAAAUAAGCCUGUACUCUGCAUGGCAUCAACUGAGCUUUUAAAGAUUACGAAUGAGCAGGGUUUUGAGAAAAAAAAGUUUGAAACAAAUCAAAAACAAAGCUUUAUAGCCACUUCAGAAAGCCUGGAUGUUUAACCUGUAAGGAAGUCUGUCAAAUCCUUGAGGAAACCACAUAGAGAAAGAUCAAUAGAAUACCUACUGGCUCCAUUAGCUUGAUGUAAAAAGGGGAAGAGGGAAACCAGCUCUUCCACAAGAGAAGCUACAUUAUUCCAGGGAUUAAGCGGGAUCAGUUCUCUUACAGAAAAGAAGACGAGAGAAAAAAUGAAGAUUCUUGGUGGGCCAGAACUGGAGUGAAAGGGAUUGUCAGCUGGAAAAUCUCACUUUGGGAGCAUUGUUCUGAGGAAAGAUUUAAAAUGAAUUACCAGUUUUAAAAAGACAACUUAAAAGCUUCCCAGGGAUGAAGGUGAGACUGACUGACCAAUGGUUUCCUGGCUCCUUCAUCUUGCCAUUUUUGAAGACUGGAGUCCUCAGGCAACUCUCCUGUUCUCCAUGACCUUUCAUAGGUGACAGAGAGUAGUUCAGCAACCACUUCUGAUAGAUUCCUCAGCAGUCAUGGGUGCAUUCCAUUGUGUUCAGUGGAUUUGUGUGUGUUCAGUUUGCCUAGACAAUCUCUAACCAGAUUCUCCUUGGGACAAGCACUGCUACCUGAAUAACCAAGGUUAGUAAGGCCCAAAAGAAAAGAUGGAAAUGAAAGCUAUCCUCAACACUGACCAUGCUGUCUCCGCUACUGGCUUGAGAGGCUGCUCUCCAGAGAACUUUGGUGGCCCCAUCUAGGGCAUCUCAUGGACACCGCACAAGUUCUGCAAGCUGGCACACAUAUCCUCAAAGGCAAGACUGGGAACCAUAAGUCCCUUCUGUCCCACACACAGACGUUGUUCUCGUUUAUUUUCUGUCUCUAUUCCUGUUUCUCUCAUAGAAAAUCUUCUAGUGGAGUGAUGCUUCCCUUAUACUGAUUCAGUCUGCAUGGCUGUGUCAAAAGUUAUCAGGGGAGGUAGAGAGACCAGGGACUUUAUGGAAUAAAAAGGAAUGAGAAGGGCAUGCCCUGGCUGAAUUUGUGAUCUGGAGGCAAAUGGGCACGGAAACCAGAACAAGACAGGACCCUGAACUUCAGGAGAGUGAACUUUCAGCUGUUUAAGGAAUAACUGAAUAGGAUUCCCCAGGGAAGCUGUCUUAAGGGACAAAGGAGUGGAGCAGAGCUGGCACUGCUUUAAGGAUGCCUUUCUGAAAGCACAAGAGCUCUCCAUGUCCCCAUGUCCCAGCAUAAGAAAUCAAGCUAAGGAGGCAGGAAACCAGCAUGACUGGGCAAGGAUCUUCUGGUCAAACUGAAGGAAAAGAAGGACAAGUACAGGCAGUGGAGGCAAGGACAUGUCAGUGAAGAACACAGGAAUGCCAUCUAGACAUGCAGAGUUGGGAUCAGGAAAACCAAGGUGCGUGUGGAACUGAACUUAGUGAGGUACGCUGAUCAGAAGAGACUGACCAAGGAGAUCAUACCCUCUGUGAUAAAAGAGAAUGGAGAACUGGAUUCAAAAGACUUGGGGAAGGCUGAGGUACACAAUAAGUUCUUUGCCUUAGUCUUCACUGACAGUCAGGCAUUCCACAUCCUUCAUGUUCCUGAAACUAUACGAGGGGUAUGGGGAAGGAAAAUCCCUCCAACUGUAUGAGAAGGGGACAUCUGAGACCACCAGAUGAGACUGAACCUGCACAAGUCUGUGGGGCCAGAUAACAAGCAUCACAGGGUUCUGAAGGAGUCAGCUGAUGUAGUGGCCAAGCCACUAUCAUAUUUUAAAAGUCAUGGCUAUCAGGCAAAGUUUCCCAGUGACUGAAAAAAAGGAAAAAAACCACUCCCAUUAAAAAAAAAAAAAAAAGUAGAAAGAAAGACCUAGGGAACUACAGGCUGAUCAGCCUCACAUUUGUGCCUGGGAAGAUCAUGGAGCAGAUGUGGAAGAGAUGUUAAGGCACACGUGAGAUGAAGAGGUGAUCCAAGAUAGCCAGCAUAGCUUCAUCAAAGACAGACUGUGCCUGACCAAUCUGGUGGCCUUCUAUAGUGGAACAGUGGCAUCAGUGGUCAAAGAAAAGGCAACUGAUGUCUUCAUAUUGGACUUCUUGAAAGACUUUUGAUGUCACACCACCUGAACUCUAAAUUGGAGAGAGAUGGAUUUGAAGGCUGGACUACCUGAUCAUAAGAUAUGUCCCUCUUCCCAAUUCUAUGCAUGUAGUGGUCAUGGUAUGCGCAAGGCCAAAAGAAAGGAUUAAUGAAAAUCUGUUUUCUGGAGCUGGUUAGAUGUUCCCUCCAUUUCCCAGUCCACUAAAGAAAAAAACGUCACUUUUUGUUGAGCCUUUUCUUUUCAUGAUUCCAGUUCAUUGAAAUGUCUCACAGAAAACUCUGUUUCAGUGCAGUUUUUAAAAUAUAAAGUGAACAUGACAGAAUGGAAUUCAACUUAAUCCUCUCUUCUUCCUUUAAUAUUUAUAACUUUUAUGAAUCUCGGUGUUAAAUAAUUAAUUUGCUAUGAAUAAUAUUAACUUCUCUCUGGAUGCCGAUCAUUUUAGCAAACGGUAAAAAGCUAGUUGCUUUGACAUUGGAGUUCUCUCUCUGAACUUCAUCCUGUGCAUUGUUCUUCCUCUGUGGAAGGGGGCAGUGGAGCUGACUGCAAUUGUCUAUCCUUACUCACUAGACUGAUUUUGAAGCCUGAGGUUUCUUUUUCUUUUCCUGGAAUAUUUCAGCAUUAAAAAGAAAAAAGAUUUUUGUUAAGUGAAAAGAGAUUUCAGAUGUUUCGCUUUCUCUACUGGAAGAGGUAUAAGUGAAAUAAUGAUCAUCGUCUUUCAGAAAUAAGAACUUUUGAAGUAUCAGAAUAUAAACAAAGACAGAAAUAUCUAGUUUGGCUAUUUUCCUUUGAAAAUAAUCAGGAAUUUUGUUUAGCCCCUUAUUUAAUGUGAUCUUAGCAACAAUUCAGAUGAAUAAUUGGACCUGAAAUUUGUUUAAAUGCACAAUAUACUAGGAAAAAAAGGCUGAUAUGCACAGUAACAUUAUGAUGAAGUAACACAAAAUUAUAUUUGAUUUAAGGUUAUCGACAUCUCACUGGGCUGUACAUUUUAAACCACAUUGGCAUGAUGGAACAGAAGUUGAGAAUUGCUAAUUGCAACAAAUAAUAUUUUAUGCCUGCCUGCACAUGUAUGAUGAUUGUUAAAAGAGAUCUCAUGUAUCCCUCGGUUUCCUAAGAUAUUGUUUUAGCCUCAGUUAAACGCAGUAUCUAAUUGCCAAUUGCAAUGCAUUAUGUUUAUAUAAUAUGAUACUUAUUUUUUCCACUUGAGCAGAUAGAGUGGGUAUCUAUUUAUAUUAUCAUAAUGUUUGAGUCAGUAGAGGCUGAUUAGUUACACUGAAAACUGGCAAAAGCAAAUGCAAUCUCCUGAAUAAAAAUCGGCACAUUUUGUGGUAUGUGAAUGCAAACAGG